rnacentral:sRNA from 1 species
GCUGGCCAUGGUGGUGCAUGUCUGUAAUCCCAGCAGCUUGGGAGGCUGAGGCAGGAGGAUUGCAAGUUCAAAGCCAGGCUCAGCAAUUUAGCAAGGCCUUAAGCAACUUAGCAAGCCCCUGUCUCAA